CUUACUAAAACAUAUAAUUAUCUAAGGAAAUGGGGGCCUUGUCAGAUAAGGGGGUUAUCUCAAGAUUAAAGUUAUCAGCUGUCCACAGAAGACAGCCAAAUGCUUUACUUUUUCGUCAGUAGUUCCAUAGAGAGGGAAUAGAGCAGUGGCCAAGCAUUCACACCGCUGCUCCAGUCACUUGGGGCAUAAAGAAAGGUGGGGAUUCCACAAAUUGACAAGUUAUCCCGUAUCCACAGAAGGGGUUCUCAACCAGGGGUAAGCCAUGGGUUAUGUCAGUUCGCCGACAAAUACCGUCCAUGCAUUGGAUUGGAUGCUGCUACCUUAUGUGAGCUGCAGUGGCUGCCGGGCCUGACGUGUGGAGGUGUCACUACAGUGCAGAGGGACUUCACCAGUCAGUGCAGCCCUCUGACUCCUGCCGAACAGGAUAGACACAGGCCUGAAAAACAGUGAAAAUAAAAUGACCUCUACAAAUACAAAAAUAUGCAAUCAUUCCAAAUCCUUGAGAAUAUAAUGGACAUAACAAUAAAAUAUAUUGCACCCAGAAAUACAUAUAGGAAAUAAGGAAAAAAAACAGGUCCUCGUCAGAUAAAUGUUGAAAAGAUGUCAUGUCUUUGAAAUCUGCUCCACUGAACGAAAUAAGACAGAACUAGAAUCCUGGUUAUUGCAGAAUAUCAAGUGUAUGGAAGAGUAAGCUGAGGUCUUUUACCUUUUAGUUCUUUUUCACUGGGAGAACCAUCCACUUUACAAAGCCACAAGCAAGAUUCAUUUCAUUUUUAAGUCU